ACACGACUCUCGGCAACGGAUAUCUCGGCUCUCGCAUCGAUGAAGAACGUAGCGAAAUGCGAUACCUGGUGUGAAUUGCAGAAUCCCGCGAACCAUCGAGUCUUUGAACGCAAGUUGCGCCCGAGGCCACCCGGCCGAGGGCACGCCUGCCUGGGCGUCACGCC
rnacentral:rRNA from 1 species